CAGCAGCACCACCACCACCACCACCACCACCACCACCGCCGCCGCCGCCGCCGACGCUCUACCCACCCUCGACCAAACGCGUAACUCGCGUUCCUCCGCGGUCAUCGACCCUUUACGCUUCCCUCUAGUUUACCGGAUUCGUUCGAACGAAAACGCGAUCAAAAUUCUUCUGUUUUCCAUAGUCCGGGAUCGCACCCCCUCCCCCCACUCCUCGGUGUACCGAGGUUGAAACGCGUCCCCGCGAACGAGCGUCGGUUCCUCGAAAAAACGAGGCGAUACGCGGAGGACGACGCUGUCUUCGUCGGUCCCCGUGACGGUCCCCGACAUCUGGAAAGCGGGCCCGCGGUCCUUGUACUCGACACACCGAUACGCCGCCGCUUCUCACGACGACGAUCAUUCUAAACGAACAGCGAAAAAUCGGCGUUGUUCUACAGAGCAAAAAUCGCCGGAAAUUCGUCGGAACUCAACGGAACGAUCGGGAACGCUUCUCUUUACACGGUGCGUCUCUACGAUCGUCCAGUCCGACGGAGUAGAACGCGAGAGAAGAGAGCAGAGCGCAACACGCUUGCUUUUUCCAGCAGAAGCAACAGCAGGCAGACGGGCCGGCGGCCGGCCGGUCGAGCAGGCAAGAAAGCGAACAGAGAGGCGAAAGCAAAAAAAACGGUCCGACGAUCGUCGUCGAUCCCGUUGCAUAGCGUCCAAUAAAGAUGUGCCUUCGGCGAAGGAAUCGUUUCCUCCGACGGGACACGAUUUACGCGUAAAAAGGGAUUCUUCGACGUGGCGAAGGGCGUGCGAGAAGUUUCGUCGUCGGGAACUCGGUCUUUCCGAGUAGAACAGAGCCGGCCGAAACGCGCCGCGAUCCGAGCAGAUGGGAAGCGAAAAAGUAAAAGGGAGAGAAUGUGUUCCGCUUUGAAAAAUGUCAUGGCGUGGCGCGGCUCGACUCCGCAGGCUUCGCGGAGCGUUCGAGAGGUGGCGCUCGACGCCACGCGUUUUACGUCGUGUGCAGAUCUCGAGAGAAAUUACGAGCGUCGAAUGGUAACCUAUCGCGAUAUCGUGGCGACACAGCACGGGCACGACGACGACGUACGUGUAUUCGAAUCGAUUCGAUUCGAUCGACGGGUUAUAAUACGAAGCCUGGUUCACGGUUACGAGAGGAGAGAGAACGCGAUACCGAGCGAUCCGAGAAGUAAGCGUCGUUUCUUUCGUUCGACUUACCGUGCAGUCGGGUUAUCGGGUAGCAUGCGACGCAACGAAAUCCAGGUUAUCGACUCUCGAGUGCACGUGCAACCCCACAGGUACACGCUCGAACCACACUGUCGUAAGCCUGCCGAUCACCAAAACUCUCCCUCGGUUUCACUAGAUCCGUUCGGUGUAUCGUUCCGUUUCGUUUCGUUUCACUGCGAGAACAAAUCCGGGGGAUAUUCCUCGGUGCACGCACGGACUCGGCACGGCGAACGAUUCCUCCUCGGCCGCGUACUCGGGACGCGGACUGUGGAUGUUUAAGCGAUGGCGUAACGCAGAUUACCGCGUGUAAACACCACGCGCGAGAGACAGAACGAGACACAAGAGCACCAGACCGAACGACAGCGCGUGAUCGAGUUUCGAAUUGCUGCGCAACGUACACAACCGUUCGGCUCGGCUCGGCUCGAUUCGAUUCGAGUCGGAGUCGGGCUCGACUCGUGGCGUAACCGGUGACAGCGUGGCAAAACGACGCGCGCUCCUCGCGGCGGCCGGCGCGGGAAUGAUUCAAGAACCUUUGGUUCGUGGCACGCGCGGGUAGUGGGGGUAGCCGUGUCCCGCGACAGGGGAGUCGACGCGAAACACGCAGAACCAAGAGACCCGAGCACAGACCGAGCAGAACCGAACGAACAACCGACCGACCCCCUACCAUCCCUAAACCAACGAUACCACUGUCCAACAAAUGAAGGCUUUCCAAGCAAUAAGGAGGUAGCUCCGCUUUUUACACAUUCUUUGUUAUCUAUCCGAUUUCAUUAACCGUCGCGCGCUUCUCGAUGGCCGCGCGAAAGAUCCCCCCCCCCCGCGGUUUUAAUCCAUAUUCAAUUUCGCCAAUUGUGUUUUUCACUCGUAACCGUCGUAUUUCGAACGAGAGCGUCUCGUUCGCUGCAUGAAAAAUGAAUACAUUUUCGUUUCAACUUUCUUGUAUCUCGCGGAACCCGAUCGGAUCGAGAAGGAAAUAUUAAUUUCGUGAUCCGAGUAAAUAAUUGCGUCAUCCGAGUGACGCGGCAGUCGAAGCGACGAAAGAAGGGAGUAACAUACGUACUUAGUAGGUUAUAUUUGAAAUUUCUAUCACGGGUGCGAGACUCGUUACACGGCAAGGGAUUAAACAACUUUAUCUGAAAUAUAAAAUAUGGCAAUUUUCACUCGCUGAGCGUAUGCGGGUAGAAAGGAGCGCGAUGUUUCACUUGGCGUAACAAAAAAAAAAGUGCUAGUUCCAAGCAAUAACUACGGUAGUUUAGCAAGAGAUAGCAUUACGUGUUUAAUACGUUUGGCGCAAUGAAAAGUCAGUUCUGUGAACGUAUAUCGUGCCUCAGUGUGUAAUCUAAUAUUUCAUUCUGUCAUUUUAAAUCUCUUUAAUGCGCGCUCGCUGUAUUUCUUAUUUCUAACCUGAUCUUAUUGUCUCUCUCUCUCUCCCACGUAGUCAAGAAAGGUUAUGUAAUUGUCAAUGUUUACUUCUCGGAAUACAUCUCGAAUUUUUUCGCAAUCCUAAAAUUCAUUUAUUCAUCUACAUUCGAAGAUCAGUUUUCCCUUGCUGCGUGUAACAGACAUUCGCUUUCUAUCCACGCUAGAAAUUAGGGUUAUAAGGGGUUAAGUGUCCGCCGCCAGGGCGAGUCCCCGAAGGCAUGCUAUCCGGGGUUAUACGGUACUACAAAAUGAUUACACAUGUAUAACAUGCGCGCCGGGCCGGGCAGUUUCGUCUCCGAAAUUUUCUGAUCGGAAUUUCAAGCAAUCCCCACGAUCCGCCGUGGGGUCCUGAAAUGCGUCACACGACGGAGCGGAUAUCUCCUUCGUAACGGAAACCAUCGGGAAAGGUUGCAAAGAACACAGACUCUGUUUUCGAUCGAGAAAAUAAAAUAGUUUCGCAACGGACUAUCGCCAGUGAUCCUCAAUCGCAGCGAUCCUCAAUGCGCGCGCGGAUCGAGGACCUAGGAAAUUUCCAGCUGGCGAUGUCUCGCGAGAGCUCUCGUGGUUAUGGACAUGACCGAAAAAAAAAACGAUAGUCCGGGCGACGAUAGUUUCGUCGGUCGGGAUGUUCUACAAAUCUGUCGGGACGCAAUGGCGUCCGUGUUUCGUGGCCCAUAUAACGACUCCGUGAUUCGUGCAUUCGUGUGCUCCGCGUGCAUCGUACAUCGUGGACGCGACGCUGAAAAAGAAAGGGGAAGACCGGCUCCUAGGAGGGGAGCAACUGGAUGGUAUGGUACGCCGGCCUAGGCUCUAAGGGGCUACGGGGGCGCAGGGUGAAGGGGCAGCAAUUCAAAGAGGCCGGUGGCGCAACCGACAGGGGAAACAGAGCCGAGAGCUCGAUUCGCGACUCGAUCCGCGAGUCGUCCCGGCGUAUAACAUGCCGAAUCGGAAACAAGUCUCUGUAAUUAUAGAAUUAACGGACUCAAAAGAACGAGACCCUCCCUCGAGGCUCUCGGGCGAGCGGCCUGACACGGUCCACUUACCCAGAGAGAACACCCUCCUCCUUGGCCAGAUCCUACAGGAACAAUGUCCUUCUUUCAGCCACCGCCAUUUGUUUUGCCCGAUGUCUUCGACGCUGAGACAUUUUACGGAUCAACGAUGCACUAUCGUUCUCGGAGUUUUUGGAACGAGCAGCAGAAUAAACAUGUAGCAGCAUUUCGUUUCGUGUUCGAAAGUAUCCGGAGAAUGUUCGGCCGGGAGAAGAGCUCGAGACGACGGUUUCUGACUCAUCGGAUCGUCCAAAACGCAUAGGCGUCGUCACGGGGGAAGAAGGCGCGUCCUCGACGCGGGCCGAAUUCGUUGUUCGCCGGAACGACGACGUCGACGUCGACGACGAUCGAUCAAGGAGGAAACGAGGAACAGGACUACGCCGGUCGCUGGCAGGAAUACGGGAUAUCCUGCGACGGGAUAUUCUUCGACGGGACCCAGAGCGAGCCGAACGGAUUCGCUUGUUUUGAUGGGCGAUCGAGCACCGGGAACGAGCACCGGCCGGCCGUACAGAGAGACGUUUAUCGUCCAUUGUUUCGAGCGUUAUUCGAUCGCGUGCAUGUUUUUGCGAGCCGCGCGCGGGCAAUCGUCUGCGACGUCGUCCGAUUCCAAACGGCGGCCAAUUUGUUGUUUUCUCUGCCGAAUGAAAUUCUUCUAAUUCUCUAA